UAAUUAAAAGCUUAGAAUAGUGCCUUACAUGUACCGCUCAAGGUGGUGGUGGUAGUGGUGGUCUAGAUGCCAAAUCUGCAGCGAGAGAGAGAGAGAGAGAGAGAGAGAGAGAGAGAGAGAGAGAGAGAGAGAGAGAGAGAGAGAGAGAUGGCGCUCACUCCCUCCCUUCUCCCCUCGCCCCCCCCUUUCCCUCAAGCAAACAGGAGAGAAGCAAGUUUUCGCCUCCAAGGAAUAAGAUAGCGACCGGCUGAUGACCGCCCCCCCCCCCCCCCCGCCGCCGCCGCAACAAGGACGUGGAGGGUGCGAGGUGCGUCCUUGGUGCUUGGUUGGUGCGUGUGCUGGGCUGGGUUGUUGUCACUGCCAUAACUACCUCUUGCAGUACCUUCUCUUCCCUUCCCUUCCCUUCCCUGCCCUGCCCUGCCCUGCCCUUCCCUGUCCUGUCCUGGCCUGGCCUCCUGUUGUCCUGCCCUGCCUUGCUUCCCUGUCCCAUCCCGCCUCUCAGCCCUUUGCCAGUGAAUCAUCGGAAUGAAACUCGUGAAAUGUAUUUGUUAUUAAUGGAAUGUGUGGUUGAAGGUGGGAUGUGUUAUCGUUGUUGUUGUUGUUGUUGUUGUUGUUGUUGUUGUUGUUGUUGUUGUUGUUCACGCGAAAAUGUAAGUGUUCCAGUUUACACUUUUUUUGUAAUGAUUUGUAUUUCAUUUGUGUAAUUGUCUGUUUAUGUUAUUGAUAAGGCUGAAUGUAUGCGUUGCUGCAUGCUAGUUGUUGGAAUGGGGCGCUGUGUGUGUGUGUGUGUGUGUGUGUGUGUGUGGGUGUGUGUGUGUGGGUGUGUGUGUGUGUGUGUGUGUGUGUGUGUGUGUGCAACUUAGGAUUGAAAUAUGUUAACUAAAUGCAGCAAAGUUACUUAAUAAUUUACUGAGGUCUUAACUUUAUUAUUAUUAUUAUUAUUAUUAUUAUUAUUAUUAUUAUUAUUAUUAUUAUUAUUAUUAUUAUUAUCAUUAUUACUACUACUACUACUACUACUACUACUACUUCAUGUUGUGCAUCAUCGCCAGUGUUUAUGUAAUAGUGACACGGAUGGGAAUGAGUGCGCACUGGUCACACACACACACACACAGCCACACCGUCGGGUCAUCACUUAUAUAUUUGCAUAAGUAGAGCGAAGUGAUUGCUUGCCAAGACUAACACUGGUAAGAAUGGCGUGGGGAGAGGAGUGGGGGGAGGGACCAGGAACAUCAGCCUCUUUCACUAUCUCUGUGCCUUCUUGUCACGCUUCGUUAGGUGUAACAUUUUGUCACUGGCCUUUCUUAUCGGUAUUGGUGUUACUACUACUACUACUACUACUACUACUACUACUACUACUACUACUACUACUACUACUACUACUACUACUACUACUACUACUAGCAUCACCACCGCAGCCACAACCACCACUACGACCACAUGCCGGCAGUAAUAGUAGUAAUGUAGAUGUGGCAACUUUUUCCCUACUCCUUCCCCCCCCUUUCUCCCCCCAUCGGCCCCCCGCCCCCCGUAUCAAGGCCGUUUCGCACCGUUACAAUCAUAGAAUCCUGCCCUGAGACGCAGCCGCCGUAGGGAGGUAGGCUUUAUUUACAUUAGCGGAGCGCGCGGGAAAUGCUCUUUUGUUUUGCUGGCUGUCUGUGUUUAUUUCUCUAUCUACGUAUCCGUCUGUCUACGUAUCUGUUUAUUUGUUUAUCUAUCAAUCUAUCUAUUUAUCUAUAUGGCUAUCUAUUUAUGUAUCUAUCUGUCAAUUUGUUUAUCUGUUUAUUUUCGUUUUCUUGUCUCUACUCCUCUUCGAAGUUGAAGUCACAUUUAAACUCAUCAUCCCUGACAAUUUUCAAACUUCCUGCUGUCAUAAUACAAUGCAUAUAAAUAAAUAUCAUUGUAGCGCAUGUGCAACUAAGAACACACGACGCUAAGACUGCUAAAGGCCAGGCGAUCCACGCAAGGCAUAUCCUGAAAACCUGACACCUUAAUAUCUGGCUCUAUUUAUCACUGAUCCAACCUCCUCCUCUUCUUUUUUUUUUUUUUUUUAACUGUCCACUGUCCUUUAAUCCAGUUCUUGCUAAGUUCAUAUGUUUAACUAAGAACAUAGAGGAAUUAAGGGGGAAUAUUUAUAAGCUUAGCAUCUGCCGUCAUCAUCCAUGUAUCCUGCCCUCUCUUGUAAGUUCAAGUGUUCGUGCACUCAUUACGUUGUUGGUUGCUUCCUCUCAACCAUAACACUUUUUUUUUUUUUAUUCGUUAACUAUCACUUCUGCGUACUCCUUUGUAUAUCUGAUUUGUCUACAAGUUUUGAGACCUCCAUUACAAAAUAUAUAAUCGUAAAGUCAAACCAGGUGAGAAUUUUUAACUGACAUCUUGGUGCAGAAAGGGUUCCUCUCAUCCAUAACCCUUUUUUUUUUGUCAACUAUCACUUUUGUGUACUCCUUUGUAUAUCUGAUUUGUCUACAAGUUUUGAGAGCUCCAUUACAAAAUAUAUAGUCGUAAAGUCAGUCCAGAUGAGAAUUCUUUAACUGACAUCUUGGUGCAGUAAGAGGUUAGGUGGCAUUUUUCCCCACGCAUCCUCAGUCCUAUUUUGUAAAGCACUUUCAGCGUAUCCAACUUUUAGUCUUUAUUUAGUCUAGUGAUUUUCAACCUCUCCAUCGCAAACUCAUUGAUAUCCAGAAUGAAAUUAAACGCCUUGGCACGGAAGGAGUAUAUGUAAUAUUUGUUUCACGCAUCCACAACCUUAUUUUAUGAUUUUUUUUUUCACUGUAUCUCCUUUUUUAUACCUGAUUUUAAUUUAUUUUUAUUUAUUUAUUUAUUUAUUUGUAAUUUUUAUAUCUAAUUUUAUUUUGUCAACCUCGCCAUCCUUAACAUCUCAUUGGUUGAUGGAUGGAACGGACUUAUUAAUAAAGUUGUUAGUGCUGAGUCAUUAGGGAGCUUUAAGAGAAGAUUAAACAGAUCUAUGGAUGGGGAUGAUAGGUGGAAAUAGAUAGAUACAUUUCAUACAGGGACUGCCACGUGUAGGCCUCAUGGCUUCUUGCAGCUUCCCUUAUUUCUUAUGUUCUUAUGUUUUUAUGUUAUCCAGAAUAUAAUUAAACUUGGUACAGAAAGGGUUAGGUAGCUCGCGUGUUCUGGAAUGUAGGGUAUCGCGUGGCACUUAGCGAUAGAUAGCAGUGUGUAUGUGUGUGUGUGUGUGUGCUGAAAAUAACAAGCGAUGACUGAAAACAUUGCGCUUUUGACUGAUUGAGUGAUUGAUUGAUUAGCGCUGCAACAAUGAGGUCAUAUAACGCCGCUGAUGUCCUUUUCCUUCCAGCAACUGUAGCGUCACAACGUAGACACUGAUACAGAUGCUUAACUUACGCUACAUGUCUGCAAACCUUUACUGUAGCUAGUGUCACAAGUCGUCAUUGAUACAGGCUCUUCUUACUCUAUAAAUAUUCACAUACACAUCGAAAUAACUACUUACGUUACUAGUGAUAUAAGCUCUUCACUUACUGUUCAUACACACGCAUACACACUGUAAUUUUGCCCUAAUCCAAAUAAUAGGGGUAGAAAUGGGAGCAGUGGUGCGAGUGGGAAUAUUGGCUUAAGUUACUAAUUCGCUGUGUAUAGUUACGUGGUAGUGUUGAAUUAGCUUUGGUUUAAAUUUGAUCGUUAAGUUAGUUAGGUUAAGUUUGGGUUAGAUAGCGUUAGGUGUGGUAAGGUUAGGUUAGGUUAGGUGAGGUGAGGUGACAUCAGGUGAGGUAAGGUGAGGUUAGUUGAAGUUAUGUAAGGCAUGGUUAGGUGAGUUUACGUAAGGUAAUGUUAGGAAAAGCAAGAUUAGUCAAGAUUCGGUAAGAGGUUAGGUAGGUUUAGAUAAAGUAAGGAAAGGUAAAUAAGACGUUAGGUUACGUAGGGUAAGAUUUAAUUAAGGUAAGGUCGGUAAGAUAAAGUAAGCUCAGUUAAUGUUAGAUAAGGUAAGGCCAAGUAACGAUAGCCAAGUUGGUUUGGCUUAGGUUAGGUAAGGUAAGGUAAGGUAAGGUAAGGUUAGGUUAAGUAGUCAAGCAUAGGUACGGUUAUGUGGCAGUGUUGUGGAUACUUGAAACGGAUCACUGAGAAUCGCUAGGUGCAGGCACUGUACAGACCAAGCAGGAACUCCUCCGCCGCCUCCAGAUACGUGGCUACUUUUGUGUAUUUACAUAAUAACUGAUAUAGAGUGAAGGGGAGCUGCCAUUGAAGAGAAGAGAUCGCUCUCUUGUGGUUUUCGUUAGAGAGAGAGAGAGAGAGAGAGAGAGAGAGAGAGAGAGAGAGAGAGAGAGAGAGAGAGAGAGAGAGAGAGAGAGAGAGAGACGUAACAAAAUAUGGUGUGAUAUAAACGCACGUGUCUUGUCAAUGUAGAACGCGACAGUGGAGAGAGAGAGAGAGAGAGAGAGAGAGAGAGAGAGAGAGAGAGAGAGAGAGAGAGAGAGAGAGAGAGAGCAUAGCGUAGGUGUGUUUGUAGGUCAUGAAAUUUUUAGGCAUCAUUAAUUUCCAGAGAGAGAGAGAGAGAGAGAGAGAGAGAGAGAGAGAGAGAGAGAGAGAGAGAGAGAGAGAGAGAGAGAGUUAAAGUGUGCCGCCGCUGUACUUUCCAUAUGUCAGUUUUCACAACUUCUCCCCUUGUUUACACUUUCCCUUUGCAUUUAUUUAAGUUCUCUCUCUCUCUCUCUCUCUCUCUCUCUCUCUCUCUCUCUCUCUCUCUCUCUCUCUCUCUCUCUCUCUCUCUCUCUCUCUCCAUUCAGUAUAACAUUACGCUUCAGUCUUUUGCUUUGGUAAUCUUGUGAUAUUACUAUUUUUACUAUUACUGUUAUUUCACACACACACACACACACACACACACACACACACACACACACACACACACACACACACACACACACACACACACACACACACACACUCAUUCAUUCACCCACUGCUCUUGUUUUUUUGGCCUACGCUCUUCAUUCAUUCAGUGUUGCGUCUCGUCACGGUCUCGCCCAUGGUAAGUUAUGCUUGUUGGACUGUUCACUUUUUUUAUUAUCUUUUUUUAUUUAUUUAUUUAUUUAUUUUUAUUUUUAUUGAUGUAUUUAUUUAUUUAUUUAUUUUUAUUUAUUUAUUUAUUUUUUUUUUCAUUUAUUUAUUGUUUUUAUUCAGCGCUCACCGGUAUUAAUUCAGUCCUGUUUUCUUGUCUGAUUUUCGUUCAUUCUUGUAACUACCUCGUCGCUGUUUUCGCAAUGUGUGUGUGUGUGUGUGUGUGUGUGUGUGUGCAUUUGGUUAUAAUUGUUAUUGCGUUUACUAUUACACUAUCUUACUCUCUGUCUGUCUCACUAUCUUGCUCUCUCACGUCUUCAGUCUCACGCCAGUCCUCUCCGUCAUUCAUUUCUCUGCCGCCACAAGUGUUUGGUUCCCCGUGACGUGCUGCACUACACGCACACGUUGUCCUAGUAGUAGCGGUGGUAGCGGCGGCGGCGGGCGUAAGAUGUGACCUCACUGGGAUGAAAGUAACAGUAAGACUCUCAGGUGUUCGAUUCCUUCCUCCUCCUCCUCCUGCUCCUCCUAAUGCGUACCCACUCACGUGCAUGUCGCCUUGCAUUCAUGUCCCGUCCUCCUCCUCCUCCUCCUCCUCCUCCUCCUCCUCCUCCUCCUCC